UACAGAGGGUGCGAGCGUUAAUCGGAAUUACUGGGCGUAAAGCGCGCGUAGGCGGCAUUGCAAGUCGGGUGUGAAAUCCCCGGGCUCAACCUGGGAACUGCAUCCGAGACUGCAUAGCUAGAGUAUGGGAGAGGGAAGUGGAAUUUCCGGUGUAGCGGUGAAAUGCGUAGAUAUCGGAAGGAACAUCAGUGGCGAAAGCGACUUCCUGGACCAAUACUGACGCUCAUGUGCGAAAGCGUGGGGAGCAAACAGG
rnacentral:rRNA from 1 species